rnacentral:rRNA from 1 species
CCUACGGGAGGCAGCAGUAGGGAAUUUUCGUCAAUGGGGGCAACCCUGAACGAGCAAUGCCGCGUGAGUGAAGAAGGUCUUCGGAUCGUAAAGCUCUGUUUUAAGAGAAACACGGGUAUCAUAGUGAAUGAUGAUAUCGUGAUGGUAUAUUACCAGAAAGCCACGGCUAACUACGUGCCAGCAGCCGCGGUAAUACGUAGGUGGCAAUCGUUAUCCGGAAUGAUUGGGCGUAAGGGGUGCGUAGGCGGCAAAAUAAGUCGGAAGUAAAAGGGGGUGGCUCAACCAACGUAAGCUGUGGAAACUGGUAAGCUAGCGUGAAGGAGAGGUAAGUGGAAUUCGAUGUGUAGCGGUAAAAUGCGUAGAUAUAUGGAAGAACACCAGUGGCGAAGGCGGCUAACUGGCCUGUAACGGACGCUGAGGCACGAAAGCGUGGGGAGCAAAUAGGAUUAGAUACCCGGGUAGUC